CAAUAGCGUAUAUUAAAGUUGUUGCAGUUAAAAAGCUCGUAGUUGGAUUUCUGAUCGAGACAUCAGGUCGGGUCCGAGAGGAUCAUGUACUUUGAUUUUGUUUUGAUCAUCCUUGGGGAGAGCAUUUCUGGCAUUCAGUUGUCGGGAUUGGGGUCCUCAUCGUUUACUGUGAAAAAAUUAGAGUGUUCAAAGCAGGCCUCGGCCUCUGAAUACAUUAGCAUGGAAUAAUAAGAUAGGACUUUGGUGGUCUAUUUUGUUGGUUUGCACGCCAAAGUAAUGAUUAAUAGGGAUAGUUGGGGGUAUUCGUAUUCAAUUGUCAGAGGUGAAAUUCUUGGAUUUAUGGAAGACGAACUACUGCGAAAGCAUUUACCAAGGAUGUUUUCAUUAA
rnacentral:rRNA from 1 species